rnacentral:rRNA from 1 species
GACGUAGGUGGCGAACGUUAUCUGGAAUUAUUGGGCGUAAAGGGUGCGUAGGUGGCCUGGCAAGUUAUUAGUGGUAAAUCGAGGCUCAACCUCGUGGAGACUAGUAAUACUGUUCGGCUUGAGUGCAGGAGAGGUUAACGGAACUCUAUGUGGAGGGGUAAAAUCCAUAGAUAUAUGGAUGAACAUCAAUAACGGCGAAGGCAGUUAACUAUUCUGUUACUGACACUGAGGCACGAAAGCGUGGGGAGCAAAACGG